rnacentral:rRNA from 1 species
UACGUAGGUGGCAAGCGUUGUCCGGAUUUACUGGGCGUAAAGGAUGCGUAGGCGGAUGUUUAAGUGAGAUGUGAAAUACCCGAGCUCAACUUGGGUGCUGCAUUUCAAACUGGAUAUCUAGAGUGCAGGAGAGGAAAGCGGAAUUCCUAGUGUAGCGGUGAAAUGCGUAGAGAUUAGGAAGAACACCAGUGGCGAAGGCGGCUUUCUGGACUGUAACUGACGCUGAGGCAG